UACGUAGGGUGCAAGCGUUGUCCGGAAUUAUUGGGCGUAAAGAGCUCGUAGGCGGCUUGUCACGUCUGCUGUGAAAACUCGGGGCUCAACCCCGAGCCUGCAGUGGAUACGGGCUAGCUAGAGUGCGGUAGGGGAGACUGGAAUUCCUGGUGUAGCGGUGAAAUGCGCAGAUAUCAGGAGGAACACCGGUGGCGAAGGCGGGUCUCUGGACCGAUACUGACGCUCAGGCACGAAAGCUGGGGGAGCGAACAGG
rnacentral:rRNA from 1 species